GGGCCCAUAGCUCAGGUGGUAGAGCAUCUCCCUUUUAAGGAGACUGUCGCUGGUUCGAGUCCAGCUGGGCUCACCA
rnacentral:tRNA from 1 species